rnacentral:snRNA from 1 species
UCAUUACCAUUCAAAGCAC